CCUACGGGAGGCAGCAGUGGGGAAUAUUGCACAAUGGGGGAAACCCUGAUGCAGCGACGCCGCGUGAGUGAAGAAGUAUUUCGGUAUGUAAAGCUCUAUCAGCAGGGAAGAAAAUGACGGUACCUGAUUAAGAAGCCCCGGCUAACUACGUGCCAGCAGCCGCGGUAAUACGUAGGGGGAAAGCGUUAUCCGGAUUUACUGGGUGUAAGGGGAGCGUAGACGGCAGGACAAGUCUGGAGUGAAAUGCCGGGGCUUAACCCCGGAACUGCUUUGGAAACUGUGCAGCUAGAGUGCAGGAGAGGUAAGUGGAAUGCCUAGUGUAGCGGUGAAAUGCGUAGAUAUUAGGAGGAAAACCAGUGGCGAAGGCGGCUUACUGGACUGUAACUGACGUUGAGGCUCGAAAGCGUGGGGAGCAAACAGGAUUAGAUACCCUGGUAGU
rnacentral:rRNA from 1 species